rnacentral:rRNA from 1 species
AUACGGAGGGUGCAAGCGUUAAUCGGAAUUACUGGGCGUAAAGCGCGCGUAGGCGGAUUGUUAAGUCUCAUGUGAAAGCCCUGGCUCAACCUGGGAACUGCAUGGGAUACUGGCAAUCUAGAAUACAGUAGAGGGUAGUGGAAUUUCAGGUGUAGCGGUGAAAUGCGUAGAGAUCUGAAGGAACAUCAGUGGCGAAGGCGACUACCUGGACUGAUAUUGACGCUGAGGUGCGAAAGCGUGGGGAGCAAACGGGAUUAGAAACCCUAGUAGUCC